GUGCCAGCCGCCGCGGUAAUACCGGCAGCCCGAGUGAUGGCCGAUAUUAUUGGGCCUAAAGCGUCCGUAGCUGGCCGAACAAGUCCGUCGGGAAAUCCACGUGCUUAACGCGUGGGCGACCGGCGGAAACUGUUCGGCUUGGGGCCGGAGGACCCGAGGGGUACGUCCGGGGUAGGAGUGAAAUCCUGUAAUCCUGGACGGACCGCCGGUGGCGAAAGCACUCUGAGAAGACGGCUUCGACAGUGAGGGACGAAAGCUAGGGUCUCAAACCGGAUUAGAUACCCCGGUAGUCC
rnacentral:rRNA from 1 species